rnacentral:rRNA from 1 species
GGAUUCCCCUAGUAACUGCGAGUGAAGCGGGAAAAGCUCAAAUUUAAAAUCUGGUAGUCUUUGGCUGCCCGAGUUGUAAUCUAGAGAAGCGUUAUCCGCGCUGGACCGUGUACAAGUCUCCUGGAAUGGAGCGUCAUAGAGGGUGAGAAUCCCGUCUUUGACACGGACUACCAGGGCUUUGUGAUGCGCUCUCAAAGAGUCGAGUUGUUUGGGAAUGCAGCUCUAAAUGGGUGGUAAAUUCCAUCUAAAGCUAAAUAUUGGCGAGAGACCGAUAGCGAACAAGUACCGUGAGGGAAAGAUGAAAAGAACUUUGGAAAGAGAGUUAAACAGUACGUGAAAUUGUUGAAAGGGAAACGCUUGAAGUCAGUCGCGUUGGUCAGGGAUCAACCUUGCUUUUUGCUUGGUGUACUUCCUGGCUAACGGGUCAGCAUCAAUUUUGACCAGUGGAAAAAGGUCAAGGGAAUGUGGCAUCUUCGGAUGUGUUAUAGCUCUUGGUCGUAUACAUUGGUUGGGAUUGAGGAACUCAGCACGCCGCAAGGCCGGGUUUUCAACCACGUUCGUGCUUAGGAUGCUGGCAUAAUGGCUUUAAUCGACCCGUCUUGAAA